rnacentral:rRNA from 1 species
ACGGAAGGCAGCAGUGGGGAAUAUUGCACAAUGGGGGAAACCCUGAUGCAGCAACGCCGCGUGAGUGAAGAAGUAUUUCGGUAUGUAAAGCUCUAUCAGCAGGGAAGAUAAUGACGGUACCUGACUAAGAAGCUCCGGCUAAAUACGUGCCAGCAGCCGCGGUAAUACGUAUGGAGCAAGCGUUAUCCGGAUUUACUGGGUGUAAAGGGUGCGUAGGUGGCAGGGCAAGUCAGAUGUGAAAGACCGGGGCUCAACUCCGGGGCUGCAUUUGAAACUGUCUUGCUGGAGUGCAGGAGGGGCAAGCGGAAUUCCUAGUGUAGCGGUGAAAUGCGUAGAUAUUAGGAGGAACACCGGUGGCGAAGGCGGCUUGCUGGACUGAUACUGACACUGAGGCACGAAAGCGUGGGGAGCAAACAGGAUUAGAUACCCUGGUA